rnacentral:rRNA from 1 species
GAUCCUGGCUCAGGACGAACGCUGGCGGCGUGCUUAACACAUGCAAGUCGAACGAGAAUCUGCUGAAGGAGGAUUCGUUCCAACGGAAGCAGAGGAAAGUGGCGGACGGGUGAGUAACGCGUGAGGAACCCUGCCUUGAAGAGGGGGACAACAGUUGGAAACGACUGCUAAUACCGCAUGACGCAUAGAGGUCGCAUGAUCUUUAUGCCAAAGAUUUAGUCGCUUCAAGAUGG